rnacentral:rRNA from 1 species
GACGGAGGGAGCAAGCGUUGCUCGGAAUAAUUGGGCGUAAAGGGUGCGUAGGCGGUUUUUUAAGUGAGAUGUUAAAGACCCGGACUUAACCUGGGAGCUGCAUUUCAUACUGAAAGACUCGAGUGUGGGAGAGGAAACAGGAAUUCCUCAUGUAGAGGUGAAAUUCGUAGAUAUGAGGAGGAACACCAGAGGCGAAGGCGAGUUUCUGGAACACAACUGACGCUGAGGCACGAAAGCGUGGGGAGCAAACAGG